GUGCCAGCCGCCGCGGUAAUACGAAGGGGGCUAGCGUUGCUCGGAAUCACUGGGCGUAAAGGGUGCGUAGGCGGGUUUCUAAGUCAGAGGUGAAAGCCUGGAGCUCAACUCCAGAACUGCCUUUGAUACUGGAAGUCUUGAGUAUGGCAGAGGUGAGUGGAACUGCGAGUGUAGAGGUGAAAUUCGUAGAUAUUCGCAAGAACACCAGUGGCGAAGGCGGCUCACUGGGCCAUUACUGACGCUGAGGCACGAAAGCGUGGGGAGCAAACAGGAUUAGAAACCCCAGUAGUCCA
rnacentral:rRNA from 1 species